AAAGAAUUCACAUCUCUUCAUCAGAUAGUACGAAACAACAACUGUGGUGAAACAUAUAUGAAAAAUUUUUUACUUCUUAAACAUGAAAUUCAACGAUUUGACCAUCAUACGCAGGUUCUGUUGGAACCUUCAACACUGAAAGUUCUUUUACGGUUUCGUUGUGCUCAACUUUGUGAGAAAAGCCGGUAUAAAGCACACGGGAGGGAACAUGUUCAAGACUAGCAAUAAAUUCCUCAGCUUGUUUAAAGGAGAAAUGAGAAGGAUAGGGUUCAUGCUUAAGUGCAUCAACGACUACGACAUUGGAACCUUCCAUCAGUUUCUUAGUCGUAGGAGGAACGUAGUUACAAUCAGAGAUAUACGACAUAUCGCCAACUCGGAAUCCCAUACAAAAAUAGGUUUGACUUUCCUUUCCUUCGAUGAAGUAUACGCCAUGAUGAACAGGUAAAGGAGUAACAGAUAUGUCAAUAUCGUCGAGCUUAAAUGGUUUGUCUGGAGAAAAGACGUGGAAGUCAAAAGUAGGCACGCUUCCACCUCCAGUAGCAUUUUUGGCGUUAACCAUAUAGGGAAAUGACCUUUCAAUAACUUUAUAAGUUCUUUCAGUUAGGUAUAUUUUGACAGAAGGUUGUAAAAAGCCCAAGGUCCAUUCUACAAUGCAACAAACGGUUAGUAAACUUCAACAGUCUAAAGUAAUCAACAACGUCUAAAGUAAAAAAAAAAUGGUUUAUACCACGAUAAUCACAUAACAAUUAAAGACCUAUGCGAUACAAUUUACCAUUAUCUUUAGCAAUGUUCAUCAUAAAUUCUUACCUCGUAAAUCGUCCAUUCCAUUGAUGGCAUCUGCAUGAUCAUGUGUCAAGAUGACUGCAUCAAGAUAUCGAAUUUUGUGCUCCACAAAAUGUUUCAAUGCGCUAACAUAAAAAUGUUUUCCACAGUCGAUUAAGAUGUUUUUUGGACGAUCUCCACUCCCAUCAUCCACCUGUAAUAACACGCUUGUAUUAAACCGGUUAUUUUUACGACCUUCUGGUGUUAAACUUGCGAGGCAAGUACGGCAAGUUGGUUUUUCAAGUGUCAAACAACAUACAUUGGGAAUACCACUAGAGCAACCAGUCCCCAUGAAAAGCAGUUUACUUGUUCCCUUGGUCAUCUUAUCCGGUAUAAAAGAGAUUUCCGAAUAAUUCACCUUUCAAUACCUCGUCAAUAAGCACACGUUUCAAAUGAACGACUAAAUUUCCAAGAAUUCACUACUUGGAUUUCUUCCCAGUUGAAACAAAACUAGGAUAUAUGAAAAAAAAAUCAAUUGGUAGUAUAAUAUAUAUUGCCAAUUGAAUGAAUGAAAAAUUAAUUCUAAAAUAUGGAUAGCGAGUGUUUAAAUUUGCAGAAACAUAUUUCAAGGCCUGCCGCGCAUUAAUAAUCACUGAAUAACGAAUGAUAAAAAUCGCGUAAUCUUUCUAAUAUCGAAUUGUUUAGUUUUACAAUAUAC